CACAAAGAUAUAAUGGCCUGCUUUAAUAUAAUAUCAAUGUCAACUAUUAGUGAAUACAUUUUCUUUAUUUUUAACAGGAAGCUUUUCCACUCAAUUCAGCUGCAGAUGAUCUGAGACCACAAAGGUCGCUUCCUGAGCACAUUCACAGGACUAUCUGGUUAUGUGCAUGAUGCACGGGUCCUGCGGUGGAGCUCCAUUUAUGUGCAGCAGCUCUACCCGCCUCCUGGCUGGUGCAUCAUUGGGGAUGGAGGGUACCCAUGCCUGGCCAAAUCCAUGAGCCUGAUGACCCCAUACAGGGAGCCGGUGCAGAACCCAGUACAGGGGAGGUAUAACCGGCAUCAUUCAAAGGCCAGAUGUGUGGUGGAGAGCUCAAUUGGGAUGAUGAAGAUCCGGUGGCGCAGCAUCUUCCUCAAAGCUCUUGAGGUCAUCUGAGUGACCUGAUGCUCGGUCCUGAAGCUCCUGUUUGACGAGGUGUUCCUGGAACCACCAGGUUCUCCUCACAGCAUGAGAAACCAUCAGAGGAGAAGCAGCAUCAGGAGAGUCUCCGUAUCCACGUGAAGAUGCGCCACCGUGUCUUGAGAACUCUAUUACCAGCUGACACAACUUCACUAUGGAUGCAGUCAUAAUAACACAUAUGGACAGCUCCGACAGUAAUCAAUAUACCAUUACUCUGAUGACUUUUGUACAUUUAUCAGGUGUCUUUUACCAGAAAUAAUUAACUGACUACUAUUUCACAUCUUCUAUUUUCCACUGCCUCACUGAUUGUCACUGUACACACAUUAGCACCAUGCUACAUGAUACCUCUGUAUCUCCCAUGGAUGUAUGAAGACAUUUUAUCUCACAACAAUUGUUUUCUUCUUCUCUGGGCUCUGUCAGUCAUUUCUCACAAAUGUUCCUGUAAAGGAAAACGUAAAACAGAGUGUAUGUUUACAGUUCAGAGAGUUUAUGCAUAACGUAAAUACUGAGCUGACGUAACAUGUGACAGAGAUAUAAAUUGCAUUAUUUACUGGAGCAAAAAGCAUCGGGGGAACCUGUAAUCUUGGCUGUGGAUGUUGUUCAUUUCUCCCCAAUUUCAGAUCAGUUUCUUGCUGGAACGUGUGCUGUGAAGUUUUUGGAUUACACACUUUUAAUCCAGUCAUUAUUGACUGUUGAAUUGCUGAUAAACUCCAUGAGGCUGUGAAUCCCAAGCCCCCAGGAAGAGCGCUAGUUGGUGAUCCCAAUUUUGGCAGCGGCCAAACGGCGGUACCACAACUUCCGUGUCCGUCACGUGAUGCUAUUGGGCCCAAAAAUACUUUUUUACCAUAGACUUACUUUGGGAAAGAGACGUCUGUAACCCAGCGGAUAAUUUGUUUUAAGGUGAAUCAACUCCCCAGUACGAACACUCUAAUAGUCCUUAUUAAAAUCAUUAGGUCCUAAAAGUUGUAAAACGCA